rnacentral:rRNA from 1 species
UACGUAGGGCGCAAGCGUUAUCCGGAAUUAUUGGGCGUAAAGAGCGUGUAGGCGGCCUGAAAGGUCAGCUGUGAAAACUCGAGGCUCAACCUCGAGACGUCGGUUGAAACCAUCUGGCUAGAGUCCGGAAGAGGAGUGUGGAAUUCCCGGUGUAGCGGUGAAAUGCGCAGAUAUCGGGAAGAACACCCGUGGCGAAGGCGGCACUCUGGGACGGUACUGACGCUGAGACGCGAAAGCGUGGGGAGCGAACAGG